UUUCGCAAUGCCCGAAAGGGUGACGAAGCGACGCCGCGUGUGGGAAGAAGGCCUUCGGGCUGUAAACCACUGUCGGGAGUUAAGAAAUGCAAGGAUAUGAAUAGUGUCUUUGCUUGACUAAGGCUCCGGAGGAAGCCACGGCUAACUCUGUGCCAGCAGCCGCGGUAAUACAGAGGCGGCAAGCGUUGUUCGGAAUUAUUGGGCGUAAAGAGCACGUAGACGGCUAUAUAAGUCGGUUGUGAAAGCCUUCCGCUCAACGGGAGAACAGCAUCCGAUACUGUGUGGCUUGAGUGUGGGAGGGGAGAGCGGAACUUCUGGUGGAGCGGUGAAAUGCGUAGAUAUCAGAAGGAACGCCGGCGGCGAAAGCGGCUCUCUGGCCCAUAACUGACGCUGAGUGUGCGAAAGCUAGGGGAGCAAACGGGAUUAGAUACCCCGGUAGUCCUAGCCGUAAACGAUGGGCACUAAGUAGAGGGGUUUU
rnacentral:rRNA from 1 species